GCUAGACGGGCCUGAACCUUUCGCUCAACCUUUAUAUAAUUCAGGUGAGCAAAGUUUCAGGUGAGUCAAGCUU